AACGAACGCUGGCGGCAUGCCUAACACAUGCAAGUCGAACGAGACCUUCGGGUCUAGUGGCGCACGGGUGCGUAACGCGUGGGAACCUGCCCUUAGGUUCGGAAUAACUCCCCGAAAGGGGUGCUAAUACCGGAUAAUGUCUUCGGACCAAAGAUUUAUCGCCUUUGGAUGGGCCCGCGUUGGACUAGCUAGUUGGUAGGGUAAAAGCCUACCAAGGCGACGAUCCAUAGCUGGUCUGAGAGGAUGAUCAGCCACACUGGGACUGAGACACGGCCCAGACGCCCAGGGGAGGCAGCAGGAGGGCAUCUUCCGCCAUGAGCGACAGCGUGUCGGAGAAACGCCGCGUGAUGGAUGAAGGUCUACGGCUCGUGAACAUAUGUGAUUAGGGAGGAACAUAUGUGUACGUACCUGUGCACAGCGUGACGGUACCUAAUCAGAAAGCCACCGCUAACUACGUG
rnacentral:rRNA from 1 species